rnacentral:rRNA from 1 species
UACGUAGGGUGCAAGCGUUGUCCGGAAUUAUUGGGCGUAAAGCGCGUGUAGGCGGCUCGGUAAGUCUGCUGUGAAAGUCCAGGGCUCAACCCUGGGAUGCCGGUGGAUACUGUCGAGCUCGAGUCCGGAAGAGGCGAGUGGAAUUCCUGGUGUAGCGGUGAAAUGCGCAGAUAUCAGGAGGAACACCUAUGGCGAAGGCAGCUCGCUGGGACGUGACUGACGCUGAGACGCGAAAGCGUGGGGAGCAAACAGG